ACGCUCGACACCUACGGGAGACAGCAGUGGGGAAUAUUGCACAAUGGGGGAAACCCUGAUGCAGCGACGCCGCGUGAGUGAAGAAGUAUUUCGGUAUGUAAAGCUCUAUCAGCAGGGAAGAAGAUGACGGUACCUGAGUAAGAAGCCCCGGCUAACUACGUGUCAGCAGCCGCGGUAAUCUGAGCGGGCUGGCAAGGC
rnacentral:rRNA from 1 species